UAGGGAAUUUUCCACAAUGGGCGAAAGCCUGAUGGAGCAACGCCGCGUGCAGGAUGAAGGCUUUCGGGUCGUAAACUGCUUUUAUCUGUGAAGAUUAUGACGGUAGCAGAUGAAUAAGGAUCGGCUAACUCCGUGCCAGCAGCCGCGGUCAUACGGAGGAUCCAAGCGUUAUCCGGAAUUACUGGGCGUAAAGAGUUGCGUAGGCGGCAUAGUAAGCAGAGUGUGAAAUCGUAUGGCUCAACCAUAUACACAUGCUCUGAACUGCUAAGCUAGAGAAUGGAAGAGGUCGCUAGAAUUCCUGGUGUAGGGGUGAAAUCCGUAGAUAUCAGGAGGAAUACCGAUGGCGUAGGCAGGCGACUGGUCCACUUCUGACGCUCAGGCACGAAAGCGUGGGGAGCGAUCGG
rnacentral:rRNA from 1 species